AGAUUGAACGCUGGCGGCAUGCCUUACACAUGCAAGUCGAACGCGAAAGGGGGGCAACCCCCGAGUAGAGUGGCGAACGGGUGAGUAAUACAUCGGAACGUAUCCAGUAGCGGGGGAUAACCUCUCGAAAGAGAGGCUAAUACCGCAUACGACCUACGGGUGAAAGAGGGGGAUCGCAAGACCUCUCACUAUUGGAGCGGCCGAUGUCGGAUUAGCUAGUUGGCGGGUAACGCCCACAAGGCUACGAUCCGUAGCUGGUCUGAGAGGACGACCAGCCACACUGGAACUGAGACACGGUCCAGACUCCUACGGAGGCAGCAGUGGGGAAUUUGGACAAUGGGCGCAAGCCUGAUCCAGCCAUGCCGCGUGAGUGAAGAAGGCCUUGGGUUGUAAAGCUCGUUUCGGCUGGACGAAAGGUCCGUGUUAACACACGGAUCCAUGACGGUACCAGCAGAAGAAGCACGGCUAACACGUAGCCAGCAGCCGC
rnacentral:rRNA from 1 species